UACAGAGGGGGCGAGCGUUGUUCGAAAUUACUGGGCGUAAAGGGCGCGUAGGCGGCCGACUAAGUCAGACGUGAAAUCCCCUGGCUCAACCAGGGAACUGCGUCUGAUACUGGCUGGCUUGAAUCCGGGAGAGGGAUGUGGAAUUCCAGGUGCAGCGGUGAAAUGCGUAGAUAUCUGGAGGAACACCGGUGGCGAAGGCGGCAUCCUGGACCGGCAUUGACGCUGAGGCGCGAAAGCCAGGGGAGCAAACAGG
rnacentral:rRNA from 1 species